GGAUGGAGGAGCCCGCGGCGCAUUAGCUAGUUGGUGGGGUAAACGGCCUACCAAGGCGACGAUGCCGUAGCCGACCUGAGAGGUGGACGGCCACACUGGGACUGAGACACGGCCCAGACUCCUACGGGAGGCAGCAGUAGGGAAUCUUCCGCAAUGGGCGCAAGCCUGACGGAGCAACGCCGCGUGAGCGAAGAAGGCCUUCGGGUUGUAAAAGCUCAGUCGAACUCGGGAAGAGCGGAACGAGGGAGUGGAAAGCCUCGUCGAGACGGUACCGAGAGAGGAAGCCCCGGCUAACUACGUG
rnacentral:rRNA from 1 species